rfam:Chlorocebus sabaeus isolate 1994-021 chromosome 12, whole genome shotgun sequence.
AUCCCUUUGUAGUUCACGCGCAUGGUGAUUGGGUGCUCAAGCCCAUGUGUGAGGUGUGCCUCCCUCAAACCUUGUUACAACGUCAGCACAGCAUCAUCUGACG